UAGAAUUUAAUGUUAUAUGAUAUUUAGCAUUCAUAAUCUACAGUUGAUGUUGCUAGUGCUGCUGCUAUUUCUGCAAAUUAUAGUAUUUCUUUUGUAAAAAAAAGAACAUGAAAAAUCUACCAUCAUCACCUUGCGAAUAUUUUAAAAAAAUGGCGCAAAACAAAGGGUUUCUUUAAAGAAGAGGACUUCUCCUGCUGAAUGCUACACAAGCUCUCUAAGGAUCCUUUCAGAAUUCUAAUGCCGGGCCUGGCCCUUAUUUGACUGUGUAUUUAAUAACUGCUGUUGCUGUUGAGAGUUGGUACAAUUUUCUCAAAGGAAUUUUCCAUCUCUGAAAGGAUCCAUUCAGAAUUCUAAAGCCGUCUCUUAUUUGACUGUGUAUUUAAUAACUGCAGUUGCUGCUGUUGCGAGUUGGUACAAUUUUCUAAAAGGCAUUCUCCAUCUCUGAAAGGAUCCUUUCAGAAUACUAAAGCUGGCCCUUAUUUGACUGUGUAUUUAAUAAUUGCUGCUUUUGCUGCUGCUGAGAGUUGUUUCAUUUUACUAAAAG